CGUGUAAGAAGGCGGAGAGGCUGCCCUUCGUAAUGUAAUCAAGGACGAGCAGCUUCUUCCCCUUGGUGCCGAGGUAGUAGGCUCUUAGCGAGAGCAGGUUGGGAUGCCAGACGUUACCGAGCACCGUGCCGUACGUGCUCUUCCCCGUGAUCUCUGCCGUGGCGCACAGCAGGUCAUCGGCCGUGAACGCCAGCGGCCCGUCGAAGUGCAUCAGCUUGCCAUCCACGUCGCCGCCGGACUCCGCCUCGGACGCCCCCGGCUUCUCGCCUCCGCCUCGGACGCCCCUGGCUUCCCGCCUCGCCCGGCAGCUGCAGCGGCGCCAGCGCCGGCGUCCUUGCUUGACGACUGCUUCCCGCUCCGUGCUCCAGUGGAUGAAGGGCAGAGGCGGAGCAAGGCUCAACGGCGAGCCGUCACCCCACGUCUCCGCGGCCCAGUUCAAUGAAGUUUCUGAGAGAUGAGAUUGGAAUCGAG
rnacentral:rRNA from 1 species